rnacentral:lncRNA from 8 species
AAAAAGAAUAAAAUAAUGAUUUUCCAGAGAAGAUCCAGAUCUCAGGGAAUUAGACCAAAGUUCUCAAUUGGUACAAAAUAUAUAGAGUACUGUACACACUACAAUUACUUAGGUUUAAAAAUAAGCUCAACUGGACACCUUAAUGAGGCAGUGAAUGAACUGAGAGAGAAAGCACGCAAGGCAUUCUACGCCAUUAAAAAGCAAAUUCAAAUUGAAAUAUCUAUUAAAAUUUGGCUAAAACUAAUUGAAUAUGUCAUUGAACCAAUUGCACUUUAUGGCAGUGAGGUGUGGGGUCCACUUGCAAAACAAGAUUUCAUCAAAUGGGACAAACACCCCAUUGAAACCCUGCAUGCAGAGUUCUGUAAGAUGCAUGCAGGGCAGGGCAAUGCAUGCAGGGCAGAAUUAGGCCAAUACCCACUAAUAAUAAAAACUCAAAAAAGAGCAAUUACAUUUUGGAAACAUCUAAAAUACAGUGACCCCCUCUCAUAUCAUUACCAAGCCUUGCAAUGCCAAGAGCUGAGCAAAGAAAAUAGUCUCCUCAUCCAGCUGGUCCUGGGGCUGAGUUUACAAACUUGUUCUACUAACACACUGAAGCCUCAGGACCAGAACAUCCAAUCAAUCAGAAUAAACCAAAUUACAACACAGUCAAAACAAAACUACAUUGCUUAUUGGGAAACACAAGCACAAGCACAAAGCAAAAUGCAGUGCUAUCUGGCCCUAAAUCGACAGUACACUGUGGCUAACUAUUUGACCAUGGUUACUGAUCAAAACCUUAGAAAAACCUUGACAAAGUACAGGCUCGGUGAGCACAGCCUUGCCAUUGAGAAGGGUAGACACAGGAAAACCUGGCUCCCUGUAGAGGAAAGAGAGUGAGAGAGCGAGAGAGAGCGAGAGCGAGAGAUAGAGAGAGAGCGAGAGAGAGACAGAGAAAGAGAGAGAGAGAGAGACAGAGAGAUAGGGAGAGAGUGAGACAGAGAGAGAGAGUGAGACAGAGAGAGAUGCUGCUAGUCCCAUCCACCAAACUACCAGGUGUGAAACAGGGAAGGAACUCAGGAGUAUGCUAAUUUGAUAUAUAGCAGACCUAACUCACUCCAUUAAAUUAAUCAAAACAGGGACAUUUUACAGUUGGCUAUAAAUUCAAAAGGAAAUGAUCUUAACAGAGAAAAAUGUCAUCCUGUGUGCUCCCUAUAUCCCCCCACUAGAAUCCCCACACUUUAAUGAAGACAGCUUCUCC